UCCACUAUGGUUCAGUGGUAGAAUUGCCGCAACGUUGGGAUCUCGACGGCGGCAGGUCGGUGGUUCGAGUCCACCUAGUGGCA